rnacentral:rRNA from 1 species
UACAGGGGGUGCAAACGUUGCUCGGAAUCAUUGGGCGUAAAGCGCACGUAGGCGGUUCGUUAUGUCGGAUGUGAAAGCCCUUGGCUUAACCGAGGAAGUGCAUCCGAAACUGGCGAGCUAGAGUACUAAAGAGGAUCGCGGAAUUCCCGGUGUAGAGGUGAAAUUCGUAGAUAUCGGGAGGAACACCAGUGGCGAAGGCGGCUUUCUCGGCCUGCUCUUGACGCUGAGGCGCGAAAGCUAGGGUAGCAAACGGGG